UACGAAGGGGGCUAGCGUUGCUCGGAAUCACUGGGCGUAAAGAGCUCGUAGGUGGUUUGUCGCGUUGUCCGUGAAAACUCACAACUCAAUUGUGGGCGUGCGGGCGAUACGGGCAGACUGGAGUACUGCAGGGGAGACUGGAAUUCCUGGUGUAGCGGUGAAAUGCGCAGAUAUCAGGAGGAACACCGAUGGCGAAGGCAGGUCUCUGGGCAUUAACUGACGCUGAGGAGCGAAAGCAUGGGGAGCGAACAGG
rnacentral:rRNA from 1 species